GGCCCCGUAGCUCAGCUGGAUAGAGCGGUCCCCUCCUAAGGGACAGGUCGCCCGUUCGAAUCGGGCCGGGGUCACCA
rnacentral:tRNA from 11 species